CCUCUUGCCUCCGCCCCUCGGGGUUUCCCCUGGGGAAGCCGGGCUGAACCAUUGGUGCUGCGGGAGGGGGGUUCGUGCGGGAACCGGGAGGAAGGAACUAUGGGAAUGAACCCGAGGAAGGCUGGACUACACCAUUACAGGGCGAGGAGGCGGCCACGCGCGAGGCAACGCUCCUUAGUGUGGCAGUCACGGUAAUAAUAAAGUGUUUAUCAAGCAAGCUUGUCCCAGAGAAACUGAGGCACUGGAAAUCAGGAAGAAGUCUGUCACAAGCAGAAAGAACUGUAGGAUUACUAGCAGCAUAGCAAAUCUUUACAGCAAAUAAGGAGAUCACGAGGAAUAACUUCCAAAGCCGUGACUACUGGGACAAAGCACAGGCGACACUACCCUGCUCAGGCCAUGCUGAGACUAGACCCCUACAGUUACUGGUUGAGAAGCAGUGAUGAGAGAAGCAAUGAGGGGACAGAGUGGGAGGAGGACAAGGAUCAUUUUAUGGGAGUCUACCUCAGAUUUGGGCAGGUGACACAUUCCUGGAGAAUGGAAAGUUACAGGAAGUCUGCUGCGAGCUUCUAUAGAAGUUUCCUUGUUGGUAGAAAGAGAUGCCAUUUCUUCUUCACAUGCAAGUUGUCAUGCCUGGAACUGCAGCAACUAGUCUAUAGCCAUGUGAGCAGCUGGCCUGAGGUCAAUGCUGCCUCAGAGAGCAGAUUAAAGACAUGAAAAGAAUCUGGGUCCUUGAUGUUAUUACACAGUCACUGACUUAAACCCGGGAACCAUGGACCUCUCAUCGUCUUGUAAUGAGAUAUAAUAAAUUUUCCCUAAUAUUUAACCCAGUUCAGCAGAAAGUAUAUUACUUUUUUUUUUUUUUAGCAGAUUCAUUUAUUUGUUCUAGAGAGAGAGAGCACACGAG